AUACGAAGGGUGCUAGCGUUGUUCGGAAUUACUGGGCGUAAAGAGCAUGUAGGCGGAUAGAUUAGUCAGAGGUGAAAGCCCCGAGCUCAACUCGGGAACUGCCUUUGAUACUGUUUAUCUAGAGACCGAAAGAGGUGAGUGGAAUUCUCAGUGUAGAGGUGAAAUUCGUAGAUAUUGGGAAGAACACCAGUGGCGAAGGCGGCUCACUGGCUCGGAACUGCCGCUGAGAUGCGAAAGCGUGGGGAGCGAACAGGAUUAGAAACCCCAGUAGUCC
rnacentral:rRNA from 1 species